UUUAAGACGUCAUGCACGGAUCUAACUGUUACACAUAAGUUUUGUUUCUCAACUGUUUACAUUCUCUUAAUAUCAUAACCGACAAUGCUUAGUAUAAAUCGACUGUUUACGUGAAAACGUGAUUUUGUAUGCAUUUGGCCGUUUACACACGUUUACAUAAGGUGCAACACAACUUAAUUAACCCGCCCAAUCUGGCAACACAGCUCUAGUAUGGUAUAUAUUAUGGGGAACGUACCGCUUGUCACCACAGCUCGGUGACGGAGAGUUGUGUGUCAAGCCUGAAGAGUUUCGCUCCUCCUUCCUUAAACUCUGGAGGUGUUGCGCUCCUGCCAUUCAGUAAAAACACCAUCGUGCUCCUGAAGUUCAGACGUCUGGCUGGACGCAACCUGCACGGAUCAGCUGUGCGCUGUAUAGUGAUGUGUGUCAAAGCUUUCCUUCAGGAGAAAUGAUUCCUGCUUAGGGAAUGACCCUACAAGAGUUUUGAAAGGCAUUGUUUUAUGACGUGGUCUCUUGUGGAUAUAACAACACGCUUGCUUCACGUUUCGUAUUUUUACAGUCAGACUUCGAGAUCAGCUGGCAGGCUGCCAGUCAUCGUUCGGGAGAGGCAAACACAGAGGGGGCACUUAGGCUACGAAGGAGGGAUGAGCGUAUGAGAAAAGCAAAGACAGAGAUAUAGAAGGAGAGCAAGCACAAAACACAGGCAAACAUCCCUGAUUCGGUGUCUCAGCAAUUUAAUUAAAGGGACUAGUGGGAUGUUAAAGUGGGCAUUCAGAGGUGAAGUCUUAACCCCCCCACCCCACCCCACCCCCCACCCACCGACCAGGCAUGGACUAAUCCCAAGGGCCAGCUAAUAAGUGCUCGGGUCAUGCCACCAUGACAACUAAAAUAGGAGUAUCUCAAAAGGAGCUUCCCAGUCACAGUUAAUAACUGCAUGAUGGACGUUAAGACACAGUGAGCAGGAAUAAGUGUGUGCAGAUGCUAAGUUAAGAAUGGCCGUAAUUAGUCUGCAGUAGAGUCAAGUGUCUGAAAUCUGAAGGUUAUUUAGUUAGAAACACUUUGAUUGUAAAGAUUGGGCCUUUUGUGUCUUGAGUGCCAAUCUGGCUGUUGUUAAAGGUCAGAGGGAAACUCUAGAAACACGUCACUUGUUGUUUGGAUUAUACUGAUCACUCAAAAUCACAAAAAUCUGUCGCAGUAGUGACUGCCAAAGCACAAGCCCUCCUACUAAGACUGGGAUUUGAUUUCCUUUGGUUUCUUCCUCCUUGAAGUGUUGGGUAAACAAAGAGUUGCAAAACAGGGGCAUCAAACAUGAAACAAU
ensembl:lncRNA